rnacentral:piRNA from 1 species
UAGACUUUGUUUCCAGUUUAA